rnacentral:rRNA from 1 species
GUCCUGGCCGUAAACGAUGGAUACUAGGUGUGGGGGGUAUCGACCCCUUCCGUGCCGGAGUUAACGCAAUAAGUAUCCCGCCUGGGGAGUACGGCCGCAAGGCUGAAACUCAAAGGAAUUGACGGGGACCCGCACAAGCGGUGGAGUAUGUGGUUUAAUUCGACGCAACGCGAAGAACCUUACCAGGGCUUGACAUUGAGUGAAAGGCUAAGAGAUUAGUUCCUCAUCUUCGGAUGACACAAAAACAGGUGGUGCAUGGCUGUCGU